GUGGAUUAGAUACCCGGGUAGUCCUAGCUGUAAACGAUGAGCACUGGAUUGGAGGGUCCCUCAUAGCCUUCCAGUCGCAGCGAAAGUGUUAAGUGCUCCGCCUGGGGAGUAUGGUCGCAAGGCUGAAACUCAAAGAAAUUGACGGGGGCUCACACAAGCGGUGGAGGAUGUGGCUUAAUUCGAGGCUACGCGAAGAACCUUAUCCUAGUCUUGACAUGCACGGAUUAACUCCCUGAAAGGGGAGCCAGGCCUUCGGGUACAACGUGCACAGGUGCUGCACGGCUGUCGACAGCU
rnacentral:rRNA from 1 species